UACGUAGGGCGCAAGCGUUGUCCGGAAUUAUUGGGCGUAAAGAGCUCGUAGGCGGUCUGUCGCGUCGGAUGUGAAAACCCGGGGCUUAACCCCGGGCCUGCAUUCGAUACGGGCAGACUCGAGUGCGGUAGGGGAGAAUGGAAUUCCUGGUGUAGCGGUGGAAUGCGCAGAUAUCAGGAGGAACACCGAUGGCGAAGGCAGUUCUCUGGGCCGUAACUGACGUUGAGGAGCGAAAGCGUGGGGAGCGAACAGG
rnacentral:rRNA from 1 species